rnacentral:rRNA from 1 species
UACGUAGGGGGCAAGCGUUGUUCGGAAUCACUGGGCUUAAAGCGUGUGUAGGCGGAUCGUUAAGUGCCUUGUGAAAUCCCAUGGCUUAACCAUGGAACUGCUUGGCAUACUGGCGAUCUUGAGCCACUUAGGGGCAACCGGAACAAAUGGUGGAGCGGUGAAAUGCGUAGAUAUCAGGAGGAACACCUGUGGUGUAGACAGCUUACUGGACCACUUCUGACGCUGAGACACGAAAGCGUGGGUAGCAAACAGG